AACCUCCGCAAUGUGAGAAAUCGCGACGGGGGGAUCCCAAGUGCCAUUCUUAACGGGAUGGCUUUUCAUUAGUGUAAAGAGCUUUUGGAAUAAGAGCUGGGCAAGACCGGUGCCAGCCGCCGCGGUAACACCGGCAGCUCUAGUGGUAACAAUUUUUAUUGGGCCUAAAGCGUCCGUAGCCGGUUUAAUAAGUCUCUGGUGAAAUCCUGUAGCUUAACUGUGGGAAUUGCUGGAGAUACUAUUAGACUUGAGACCGGGAGAGGUUAGAGGUACUCCCAGGGUAGAGGUGAAAUUCUGUAAUCCUGGGAGGACCGCCUGUUGCGAAGGCGUCUAACUGGAACGGUUCUGACGGUGAGGGACGAAAGUUAGGGGCGCGAACCGGAUUAGAUACCCGGGUAGUCCUAACUGUAAACGAUGCGGACUUGGUGUUGGGGUGGCUUUGAGCUGCUCCAGUGCCGAAGGGAAGCUGUUAAGUCCGCCGCCUGGGAAGUACGGUCGCAAGACUGAAACUUAAAAGGAAA
rnacentral:rRNA from 1 species